rnacentral:lncRNA from 1 species
UUUGAUGCAAGUUUAGGACUGUGUCUUGGGUUUUAAUUGUAAACUACUCCUAAGCUUUGAAGCACGGAGUUAGUGUGUGUGUUUCACUCGAGAGCUUUUAAGCGAGAGUGGAAUCUAGUUUCUUAGGAGGUUGUCUCCAUUUUUUAUCGUUAGAAAGUUGACAGCAACACAGUACGUGUUGUUAGAAGGAAUUGGGACGGGGUCUCAUAUCUAGGAGGUUCCUAGGUAUGAUUGCACGGGUAGUGUCUAGGCGAUAAGUCAAGUACCGGGUGUUGGUCGAGGGGUUUGAACUAGAGCUAUUAUAGUGGAUUCAUUCCUGGAUUGGUAUCCCCAGAGUAGGUGACGUUGCACUGAACUGGCUUAACAAACGAUCUGUG